rnacentral:rRNA from 1 species
UACGUAGGGUGCAAGCGUUGUCCGGAAUUAUUGGGCGUAAAGAGCUCGUAGGCGGUUCGUCGCGUCGGCUGUGAAAUCCCGAGGCUCAACCUCGGGUCUGCAGUCGAUACGGGCGGACUGGAGUUCGGCAGGGGAGACUGGAAUUCCCGGUGUAGCGGUGAAAUGCGUAGAGAUCGGGAGGAAUACCGGUGGCGAAAGCGACUCUCUGGACGGCAACUGACGCUGAGGCACGAAAGCGUGGGGAGCAAACAGG